CUGCUCGCUUCGGCAGCACAUAUACUAAAAUUGGAAUGGUACAGAGAAGAUUAGCACGGCCCCUGCGAAGGAUGACAUGCAAAUUCAUGAAGCGUUCCAUAUUUUU
rnacentral:snRNA from 1 species